rnacentral:rRNA from 1 species
UGGCGGACGGGUGAGUAAUGUCUGGGAAACUGCCCGAUGGAGGGGGAUAACUACUGGAAACGGUAGCUAAUACCGCAUAACGUCGCGAGACCAAAGAGGGGGACCUUAGGGCCUCUUGCCAUCGGAUGUGCCCAGAUGGGAUUAGCUAGUAGGUGGGGUAACGGCUCACCUAGGCGACGAUCCCUAGCUGGUCUGAGAGGAUGACCAGCCACACUGGAACUGAGACACGGUCCAG